rnacentral:rRNA from 1 species
UGGGGAAUAUUGCACAAUGGACGGAAGUCUGAUGCAGCGACGCCGCGUGGGGGAUGAAGGCUUUCGGGUUGUAAACUCCUUUCAGUACAGAAGAAGCUUUAUUGUGACGGUAUGUGCAGAAGAAGCGCCGGCUAACUACGUGCCAGCAGCCGCGGUAAUACGUAGGGCGCGAGCGUUGUCCGGAAUUAUUGGGCGUAAAGAGCUCGUAGGCGGUUUGUCGCGUCUGCUGUGAAAGACCGGGGCUUAACUCCGGGGCUGCAGUGGGUACGGGCAGGCUGGAGUGCGGUAGGGGUAACCGGAAUUCCUGGUGUAGCGGUGGAAUGCGCAGAUAUCAGGAGGAACACCGGUGGCGAAGGCGGGUCUCUGGGCUGUUACUGACGCUGAGGAGCGAAAGCGUGGGGAGCGAACAGG